CCUACGGGUGGCUGCAGUCGAGAAUCAUUCACAAUGGGGGAAACCCUGAUGGUGCGACGCCGCGUGGGGGAAUGAAGGUCUUCGGAUUGUAAACCCCUGUCAUGUGGGAGCAAAUUAAAAAGAUAGUACCACAAGAGGAAGAGACGGCUAACUCUGUGCCAGCAGCCGCGGUAAUACAGAGGUCUCAAGCGUUGUUCGGAAUCACUGGGCGUAAAGCGUGCGUAGGCUGUUUCGUAAGUCGUGUGUGAAAGGCGCGGGCUCAACCCGCGGACGGCACAUGAUACUGCGGGACUAGAGUAAGGGAGGGGGAACCGGAAUGCUCGGUGUAGCAGUGAAAUGCGUAGAGAUCGAGAGGAACACUCGUGGCGAAGGCGGGUUCCUGGACAUUAACUGACGCUGAGGCACGAAGGCCAGGGGAGCGAAAGGGAUUAGAUACCCCGGUAGUC
rnacentral:rRNA from 1 species